rnacentral:tRNA from 1 species
GGGGCUGUGGCGCAGUUGGGAGCGCGCUUGAAUGGCAUUCAAGAGGUCGGGGGUUCGAAUCCCCCCAGCUCCACCA